ACUGCGAGUGAAGCGGGAAGAGCUCAAAUUUUGAAUUCCGGCGGUCUUUCGGCCGUCCGAGUUGUAAUCUAGAGAAGCGUUUUCCGCGCUGGACCGUGUACAAGUCUCCUGGAAGGGAGCGUCAUAGAGGGUGAGAAUCCCGUCUUGACACGGACUACCAGUGCUAUGUGAUACGCUCUCGACGAGUCGAGUUGUUUGGGAAUGCAGCUCAAAUUGGGUGGUAAAUUCCAUCUAAAGCUAAAUAUAGGCGAGAGACCGAUAGCGAACAAGUACCGUGAGGGAAAGAUGAAAAGAACUUUGGAAAGAGAGUUAAACCGUACGUGAAAUUGCUGAAAGGGAAACGCUUGAUGUCAGUCGCGUCCGCCGGGGAUCAACCUAGCUUAAUCGCUCGGUGUACUUUCUGGUGGACGGGUCAGCAUCAGUUUCGAUCGCCGUACAAGGGCGAAGGGAAUGUGGCACUCUUCGGAGUGUGUUAUAGCCUUUCGUCGCAUGCGGUGACUGGGACUGAGGAACUCAGCACGGCCCUCGAGGGUUCGAGGCUUCGGCCUACGUAUCGGCUUAGG
rnacentral:rRNA from 1 species